AGCGAACGCUGGCGGCAGGCUUAACACAUGCAAGUCGAGCGCCGUAGCAAUACGGAGCGGCAGACGGGUGAGUAACGCGUGGGAACGUGCCUUCUGGUUCGGAAUAACUCAGGGAAACUUGAGCUAAUACCGGAUAAGCCCUUCGGGGGAAAGAUUUAUCGCCGGAAGAUCGGCCCGCGUAAGAUUAGCUAGUUGGUGAGGUAAUGGCUCACCAAGGCUAAGAUCUUUAGCUGGUCUGAGAGGAUGAUUAGCCACACUGGGACUGAGACACGGCCAAGACUCCUACGGGAGGCAGCAGUGGGGAAUAUUGGACAAUGGGCGCAAGCCUGAUCCAGCCAUGCCGCGUGAGUGAUGAAGGCCUUAGGGUUGUAAAGCUCUUUUAGCAGGGACGAUAAUGACGGUACCUGCAGAAAAAGCCCCGGCCAACUUCGUGCCAGCCGCCGCGGUAA
rnacentral:rRNA from 1 species